UACGUAGGGCGCAAGCGUUGUCCGGAAUUAUUGGGCGUAAAGAGCUCGUAGGCGGCCAGUUGCGUCCGCUGUGAAAUCCCGGGGCUUAACCCCGGGCGUGCAGUGGAUACGGGCUGGCUAGAGGCAGGCAGGGGAGAACGGAAUUCCCGGUGUAGCGGUGAAAUGCGCAGAUAUCGGGAGGAACACCGGUGGCGAAGGCGGUUCUCUGGGCCUGUACUGACGCUGAGGAGCGAAAGCUAGGGGAGCAAACGGG
rnacentral:rRNA from 1 species